rnacentral:rRNA from 1 species
AGAGUUUGAUCAUGGCUCAGGAUGAACGCUGGCGGCGUGCCUAACACAUGCAAGUCGAGCGAUUUACUUCGGUAAAGAGCGGCGGACGGGUGAGUAACGCGUGGGUAACCUGCCCUGUACACACGGAUAACAUACCGAAAGGUAUGCUAAUACGAGAUAAUAUGCUUUUAUCGCAUGGUAGAAGUAUCAAAGCUUUUGCGGUACAGGAUGGACCCGCGUCUGAUUAGCUAGUUGGUAAGGUAACGGCUUACCAAGGCAACGAUCAGUAGCCGACCUGAGAGGGUGAUCGGCCACAUUGGAACUGAGACACGGUCCAAACUCCUACGGGAGGCAGCAGUGGGGAAUAUUGCACAAUGGGCGAAAGCCUGAUGCAGCAACGCCGCGUGAGCGAUGAAGGCCUUCGGGUCGUAAAGCUCUGUCCUCAAGGAAGAUAAUGACGGUACUUGAGGAGGAAGCCCCGG